AAGGAAAUAAAAGCGCCUGAACUACUACUGAGUAAGUAGUUGACGAGGAGAAGGUUUAUCGAGCUUUCGGCGGGUACCUUCCGGUAGACAUGAAUACCGUUAAUAUAAGUGUUGAAAAAGAAGGGGUGACCCUUCUGACAAAGCCUUAUAGUCAUGUUUA
rnacentral:ncRNA from 2 species